UUCCAUUGGCUGUCACCAGCCUUUAGAAACGUGUUUCAUCCUUCUCCUGUUACUGGACAGAAUAUAGGAGCUCAGUCAAUGAGUGGACUGCCUGAGGACAAAGGAUUUGGUGAUGCGUGAGCCCGCCAGCACGCCCCUCCUUCUUUUUCCUCUGUAAUGAAUACGCUAUUGUCCGGUUGGAAUAUUAUCUACGUUUUAUGUUAAAAAGACCCUAAGGAUUGAUUGUAAACAACGUUUGACAUGUUUCUACGAAAGGCCAAAAAGGUGCUGUUUCUGCUGGCAGAACCCUAUUGCUGCCCUGUACAGUAUCUAGAAAAGCCAAGCAGAGGUGGUUCUUCAAGAAAGAUAGUCAUGCGAAACAGGAAAAGGGAGAGGGAGGACCCACAGAACAGGUUUUCCUUUGAUGAAGAUGGAGCCCUGCAGAACCUCAAUCUGCAGCCAGGGGACUCUGGAAAGUACCUGUGUAAUGGGGAAACGACAGCUAAAGUAACAGUGUUGACAGGUAGAGCUUUCCAAAUGGCAUUUUAUCUAUUUAAUUGUCCAUGUUGAAUUUUAAGUGACAUUUUCAUUUAAUUCAAAGAUCAGGCUCAACAAUCAACUUCAUCAGUUCUUAGGAAAAGCAGUGAGAGAAAGCGUUGGGGGAACCACACUUUAGAGACCCCUCUAAUGCCAUUCCCCUUUCAUUUAAAAUACCAUGCUUAUGCCUGACUUGAUUAUUUAUUUAUUUUGGCAAACUCACAUCAUCUCAACAUCCAAAGUUUCACUGCUGUUAUGAAAACAGAUGUUGUUGAGAGAGAUAAGGACCUACAAAUGUUGUGGUGAUGAUAGCUGUCGUUGGACUAUGCUUCCUGGUGCUUUUGGCUGGAAUGCCGGGCCUUUUUGCUGAUAGACAGAGUGAACAGAAAGAAAGAAUUGCAGUACAGUGACAGGACACAAGCAGGAAGGAGCUCCAGACUAGGGUCUGAGAUCACACAGGGUGAUGUGGAAGAAGGCCCUUCUCAUGUGGAAGACACUGAGGUUCAGUUGGCAUCUCUGGGUCGGCAGAACUGGAAGGAAAGAUAGAGGGUACAGGGAGACCAGCAUCACAUCAUCUAUUCCGCUGUGGUCACUGCUAGACCAGCAUUCCAGGGUUUGAAGAGAGUAACACAUUGAUUAACCACACAGUUCGUAUUUGACUUCUGUUGCACAGGUGACAUCUCCCUGGGCCAAUCUUGGCACUCCCUGAGCAGUGGGGUGGGCAUUACCAAUGUGCUUCAGACUGGCAUCGUGCAGACCCUCUUCCUAUGAAAAACAUAUUUAUCAUGAUUAGAGAUUAAAUAUUACCAUCAUGCC
rnacentral:lncRNA from 1 species